GCGGAGGAGGAGGAGGAGGAGGGGAGGGGAAGGGAAGGCGGUGGCGGGGCGGCACGGCAGCCCGCGCUGCCAUAAAAAGCCCGGGCGCGGCUGGGCGGUGUAUCCCGCCCGCCCGCAGCCACAGCGGCAGCAGCAGCAGCAGCAGCAGCGGCAGCAGCGGGGGCGGCAGCGGACGGGCGAUGGGGACGGCGCUGGCGGCGCGGCUCGGCCUGGGGCUCCUGCUCCUGGCGCUCCUCCUACCCACCCAGAUUGACUGUGACCCCAAUGGAACAAGUCCAACACCUUCAAACAAUUCUUCAGCAAGUUCCACUUCUCUGUCAGCUGUCAUAAAUUCACUGAACAAUACCACCCUUCAGGGACAUGGAAAUUCCCUUCAUUCAACCACAAGUCUCCUUUUCAUUCUCUCAAUUUCUCUCCUGUAUCUUUGCUGUUAAGAGACUCUGGCAGGGAAACAGCUACCACUCCCCACCCAGAUUCCUGAACCAUCUGAGAUGGCUAGCAUGAAAAUGAGUCAGUCCAAACUCCGCAUCGAAUCGUCUUGGUUCCACUCCAUACUCUGAUUAGUACCAGUCUGACCUAGAGAAGCACUCAGUAUUCUGACUUUCCAAAGCUGACCAGUGAGAAAAGGAUUUGGCCAACUUCAGCAAGGAGGUAAAUGAUGAGCUCUUUCAGUAAACCAGUUGGAAUUUGAAAUACAAGAUGGAAGCAAAGAGAGACAGUAUUGAAAACCCCUGAGUUAAAGCUGAGAAGAAAUCCAGUAAGGAUGGAUGAUAGAAUUCCAGCAAAAAAGAAAAAGGCUAGAGGGUUUACCUACCAUUUAGAAUGAGGACUUGAACAGAUUAUAUUUUCCAUUUAAAUUCAUUAAAGUCAACAAGCUCAUAGAACCACUAGGAAAUACAGAAAAGCUCAUAGAUUUCUGUUUAUCAUACAGCCUAUAUGUUUAUAACUUAUGGGUAGUAGGAAUGUAUGCAAAAGAAACAAAGUAACAGUGAAAAGUGUUUCUUCUAGAUUUCAUUUGUAUGACCUUGUUGCAACGAUAAGACACCAAAUUUUUGUAAGAAUUCUCUCAUUCAACUUUGAAGUCCUAACUGAAUGCCUAGUCAAGCGAGUUUUGAAAUGGUAAGAAAUCACCGGUUUUCAUAAGAGCUGAAUUAUUUACUGUGGGGAUUUGGAUUUGACAUUUUAUUUAAAUUGUUUAUACAUUAAACCAUACGUGCCAGAGGAAUGAGGUGCGGAAACAUUGGGAAAAGUACCAGGAGCUUUUUGUAAGUGAAGUUCAGACAAAAUAGAGUCAAGGGAUAAACAUCUCCUCUCCCCGCUAUUUCUCCUUCCAAAUUCUACAAGUUGUAUAAGUCCUUUUUUUUUGCUCCUGGAACUUUCCUUAAUUAUGAAGGAUUUAUGGAAUCUCUUGAGUAAUGUUCUAGUGCUGCUUUUUUGGCACAAAGUGAAUAACUUACUGUUUGUUUUGAAGAGUUUUAAUUGUGAUGGUUUACUUUAAACACUGGUUAAUAUUUGCGGUAGGGAGGAGGAAUGGGGAGAGGAGAGAAAAACGCCAAAAUACAAGAAAUUAAAUGAUCAAGUGUUUGGAAUGUAAAGACUAGAAUCUUAAUUCAAUCACUCAAUUAAAAAAUUACCUUUGUAAAUACUACUUUUUAAAAAUUUUCUGAAUCAAAAUUGCUACACUCACACAAAUUGUUUUGGUAUCAUCCAAGAGUUUGGAUAAUAGCAUCUGGUACUUGAUCUAGGCAAGCUUUGUUGAGGAAGGUUCAACUACCUUGAUGAUAAUACCUUGUCAGAAAUAAUAAAAAAAAAAUGUUGAUGUGAUCA
ensembl:lncRNA